rnacentral:rRNA from 1 species
ACGGGAGGCAGCGGCUAAGAAUAUUCCGCAAUGGGGGAAACCCUGACGGAGCGACGCCGCGUGGACGAUGAAGGCCGGAAGGUUGUAAAAUCCUUUUAUGGCAGAGGAAUAAGCGGGGGAGUGGAAAGCCCUUGCGAUGACUGUAGGCCAUGAAUAAGCACCGGCUAAUUACGUGCCAGCAGCCGCGGUAACACGUAAGGUGCGAGCGUUGUUCGGAAUCAUUGGGCGUAAAGGGCGUGUAGGCGGUCUGUCAAGCCAGGCGUGAAAGCCAGGGGCUCAACCCCUGAACUGCGCUUGGAACUGGCGGACUGGAGUCGCUGAGGGGGAACCGGAAUUCCUGGUGUAGGGGUGAAAUCUGUAGAUAUCAGGAAGAACACCGAUGGCGAAGGCAGGUUUCCAGCAGACGACUGACGCUGAGGUGCGAAGGUGCGGGGAGCAAACAGGAUUAGAUACCCUGGUA